UGCAGUCGAGCGGUAGAGAGAAGCUUGCUUCUCUUGAGAGCGGCGGACGGGUGAGUAAUGCCUAGGAAUCUGCCUGGUAGUGGGGGAUAACGUUCGGAAACGGACGCUAAUACCGCAUACGUCCUACGGGAGAAAGCAGGGGACCUUCGGGCCUUGCGCUAUCAGAUGAGCCUAGGUCGGAUUAGCUAGUUGGUGAGGUAAUGGCUCACCAAGGCGACGAUCCGUAACUGGUCUGAGAGGAUGAUCAGUCACACUGGAACUGAGACACGGUCCAGACUCCUACGGGAGGCAGCAGUGGGGAAUAUUGGACAAUGGGCGAAAGCCUGAUCCAGCCAUGCCGCGUGUGUGAAGAAGGUCUUCGGAUUGUAAAGCACUUUAAGUUGGGAGGAAGGGCAGUUACCUAAUACGUGAUUGUUUUGACGUUACCGACAGAAUAAGCACCGGCUAACUCUGUGCCAGCAGCCGCGGUAAUACAGAGGGUGCAAGCGUUAAUCGGAAUUACUGGGCGUAAAGCGCGCGUAGGUGGUUAGUUAAGUUGGAUGUGAAAUCCCCGGGCUCAACCUGGGAACUGCAUUCAAAACUGACUGACUAGAGUAUGGUAGAGGGUGGUGGAAUUUCCUGUGUAGCGGUGAA
rnacentral:rRNA from 1 species